AGCUCUGUAAGCGUAUAUCAAAGUUGUUGCAGUUAAAACGCUCGUAGUCGGAUUUUGGCGUUUGUCGGCGAUGCGGGCCUUCGGGUCGGUCGCUCGGCGAGUGCCUUUGUGGAUGGUGGCCGGUGCGCUGUUUCAUUACAAUGCGCUGGUCGCCGCCACUGUUUACUGUGAGAAAAUUUGAGUGUUCAAAGCGGGCGACUGGGCCGUGAAAAGAUUAGCAUGGAAUAAUGGAAUAGGACCCUUGGGUUCUGUUUCGUUGGUUUGUGAGACCCAGGUAAUGAUUAAGAGGGACGGUUGGGGGCAUUUGUAUUUCGGCGCUAGAGGUGAAAUUCUUGGAUUGCCGAAAGACAAACAGCUGCGAAAGCGUCUGCCAAGGACGUUUUCAUUGAUCAAGAACGAA
rnacentral:rRNA from 1 species